rnacentral:lncRNA from 1 species
GAAACGACGUUCGCUUUCACAAGCUGCCCAGCGAGCCACAGCGCAGAGCAGUGUGACUUCGAGCUAUCAACCUCGAUGGCCCCGAUGGUAUGGGCACACAGAGUGGCGGCU